AUUGAACGCUGGCGGCAUGCCUUACACAUGCAGGUCGAACGGCAGCACGGGGGCAACCCUGGUGGCGCGUGGCAAGCGGGUGAGUAAUGCAUCGGAACGUACCCGGAAGUGGGGGAUAACGUAGCGAACGUUACGCUAAUAACGCAUAUUCUGUGAGCAGGAAAGUGGGGGACCGCAAGGCCUCACGCUUUCGGAGCGGCCGAUGUCGGAUUAGGUAGUUGGCGGGGUAAAGGCCCACCAAGGCGACGAUCCGUAGCGGGUCUGAGAGGAGGAUCCGCCACAGUGGGACUGAGACACGGCCCAGACUCCUACGGGAGGCAGCAGUGGGGAAUUUUGGACAAUGGGCGCAAGCCUGAUCCAGCCAUGCCGCGUGAGUGAAGAAGGCCUUCGGGUUGUAAAGCUCUUUCGGCGGGGAAGAAAUUGCUGAGGUUAAUACCUUGAGUAGAUGACGGUACCCGCAUAAGAAGCACCGGCUAACUACGUGCCAGCCGCCGCAGUAACAC
rnacentral:rRNA from 1 species